GGGGCCUUAGCUCAGCUGGGAGAGCGCCUGCCUUGCACGCAGGAGGUCACCGGUUCGAUCCCGGUAGGCUCCACCA
rnacentral:tRNA from 10 species